ACGGAACCAAAAGGGCGCAUGGGGGAUGCCUGGGCUCUCGGAGGCGAAGAAGGACGUGACAAGCUGCGAAAAGCUGCGGCGAGUGGCAAAUGCACCGUGACCCGCAGAUGUCCGAAUGGGGCAACCCGUCGGGAGCGAUCCCGACAUCCGCGUUAACGCGGAGGCGAACGCAGGGAACUGAAACAUCUUAGUACCUGCAGGAAAGGAAAGUAAGAACGAUUCCCCCAGUAGCGGCGAGCGAACGGGGACUAGCCCAAACCGGCGGCGUUUCGGCGCGUGCCGGGGUUGUAGGACCGUCCAAAGGAAUCCUGGAAGCGUAGCGGAAGGCGAUGGAACGCGCCCCCGCAGACGGUGAGAGGCCGGUACGCGGCACGCAGACAGGACAGGGGCGGCACCUGAGUAGGGCGGGACACGAGGAAUCCCGUCUGAAUCCGCGGGGACCAUCCCGCAAGGCUGAAUACUACCGAGAGACCGAUAGCGAACCAGUACCGUGAGGGAAAGGUGAAAAGCACCUCGGACAGAGGAGUGAAAAAGACCCUGAAACCAUGCGCCUACAAGCGGUCGGAGCCACUUUGUGUGGUGACGGCGUGCCUUUUGCAUAAUGAACCUGCGAGUUGCCGUCGGCGGCGAGGCUAAGCGCCUAAGGUGCGGAGCCGGAGCGAAAGCGAGUCCGAACAGGGCGCACAGUCGCCGGAGGCAGACGCGAAACCGAGUGAUCUACGCAUGGGCAGGAUGAAGACGUGGUAACGCACGUUGGAGGUCCGCACCGGUAAGCGUUGAAAAGCUUUCGGAUGACCUGUGCGUAGGAGUGAAAGGCCAAUCAAACUCGGAGAUAGCUCGUACUCCCCGAAAUGCAUUUAGGUGCAGCCUCGGGACUAUGCCGCGGAGGUAGAGCGACCGAUAGGAUGCGAGGGCUUCGCCGCCUGUCAAGUCCUGACGAACUCCGAAUGCCGCGGCACUUAUCCCGGGAGUGAGGGCGCGGGUGCUAAGGUCCGCGUCCGAGAGAGGAACAACUCAGACCACCGUCCAAGGCCCCGAAAUCCGGGCUGAGUUGAAGGCAAUAACGAGGUGGGGCCGCAGAGACAGCCGGGAUGUUGGCUUGGAAGCAGCCAUUCAUUCAAAGAGUGCGUAACAGCUCACCGGUCAAGCGGCCCCGCGUGGAUAAUAAUCGGGCAUAAGUCCGGUGCCGAAGACGUGGGAUUAAUAAUUGAAUUAAUCGGUAGGGGAGCAUUCCAGCGGCGGUGAAGGUAUGGCGUGAGCUGUGCUGGAGCCGGUGGAAAAGCAAAUGCAGGUAUAAGUAACGACAAAUGGGGCGUGAAACCCCAUCGCCGAAAGACCAAGGGUUCCUGAACAACGCUAAUCGGUUCAGGGUAAGUCGGGACCUAAGGCCACCCCGUCAGGGCAUGGCCGAUGGACACGCGGUCAAUAUUCCGCGACCCGUCUUCGGGGAGUCCCAGCGGUGACGGAGAAGCGAAACGCACGCGCGCUGACGGAAUAGCGCGUUGAAGGGUGUAGCCAUAGGGCACGGCGGAAACGUGCCCGGCGAGGCCCGACAGUACACGACCCGCUUGCGGGGAGUGACAGCUGCGGAGGAGCAUGCUCCCGAGAAAACCCGCGCGGGGCGUUCGACCCGGAGUCGGCCCGUACCGGAAACCGACACAGGUGGUCGGGUAGAACAUACCGAGGCGCUCGAGAGACUCACGGUCAAGGAACUAGGCAAACUGGCCCCGUAACUUCGGGAUAAGGGGCCCUCCCCCCUAUACAAGGGGAGGCGCAGAGAAUAGGUCCAGGCAACUGUUUAGCAAAAACACAGGGCUGUGCUAAGCCGCAAGGCGCGGUAUACAGUCUGACACCUGCCCGGUGCCGGAAGGUUAAGCGGAGCUGUCAGGAAACGAAGCAGUGAAGUGAAGCCCCGGUAAACGGCGGCCGUAACUAUAACGGUCCUAAGGUAGCGAAAUUCCUUGUCGGGUAAGUUCCGACCU
rnacentral:rRNA from 1 species